rnacentral:rRNA from 1 species
UUCCGGUUGAUCCCGCCGGACCUGACUGCUAUCGGAUUGAUACUAAGCCAUGCGAGUCAUUGUAGCAAUACAAGGCAGACGGCUCAGUAACGCGUAGUCAACCUAACCUAUGGACGGGAAUAACCUCGGGAAACUGAGAAUAAUGCCCGAUAGAACACUAUAUCUGGAAUGGUUUGUGUUCCGAAUGAUUUAUCGCCGUAGGAUGGGACUGCGGCCUAUCAGUUUGUUGGUGAGGUAAUGGCCCACCAAGACUAUUACAGGUACGGGCUCUGAGAGGAGUAGCCCGGAGAUGGGUACUGAGACACGGACCCAGGCCCUAUGGGGCGCAGCAGGCGAGAAAACUUUGCAAUGUGCGAAAGCACGACAAGGUUAAUCCGAGUGGUUUCUGCUAAAGGAACCUUUUGUCGGUCCUAGAAACACCGAUGAAUAAGGGGUGGGCAAGUUCUGGUGUCAGCCGCCGCGGUAAAACCAGCACCUCAAGUGGUCAGGAUGAUUAUUGGGCCUAAAGCAUCCGUAGCCUGCUUUGUUAGUUUUCGGUUAAAUCUAUACGCUCAACGUAUAGGCUGCCGGGAAUACUGCAAAGCUAGGGAGUGGGAGAGGUAGACGGUACUCGGUAGGAAGGGGUAAAAUCCUUUGAUCUAUUGAUGACCACCUGUGGCGAAGGCGGUCUACCAGAACACGUCCGACGGUGAGGGAUGAAAGCUGGGGGAGCAAACCGGAUUAGAUACCCGGGUAGUCCCAGCCGUAAACCAUGCAAACUCAGUGAUGCAUUGGCUUGUGGCCAAUGCAGUGCUGCAGGGAAGCCGUUAAGUUUGCCGCCUGGGAAGUACGUACGCAAGUAUGAAACUUAAAGGAAUUGGCGGGGGAGCACCACAAGGGGUGAAGCCUGCGGUUCAAUUGGAU